CGCCUCGCCAAUGAUUUUACCCGCUGAACUUAAGCAUAUCAAUAAGCGGAGGAAAAGAAACCAACAGGGAUUGCCCUAGUAACGGCGAGUGAAGCGGCAACAGCUCAAAUUUGAAAUCUGGCGUCUUUGGCGUCCGAGUUGUAAUUUGCAGAGGGCGCUUUGGCAUUGGCAGCGGUCCAAGUUCCUUGGAACAGGACGUCACAGAGGGUGAGAAUCCCGUACGUGGUCGCUAGCCUUUACCGUGUAAAGCCCCUUCGACGAGUCGAGUUGUUUGGGAAUGCAGCUCUAAAUGGGAGGUAAAUUUCUUCUAAAGCUAAAUACUGGCCAGAGACCGAUAGCGCACAAGUAGAGUGAUCGAAAGAUGAAAAGCACUUUGGAAAGAGAGUUAAAAAGCACGUGAAAUUGUUGAAAGGGAAGCGCUUGCAGCCAGACUUGCCUGUAGUUGCUCAUCCGGGUUUUUACCCGGUGCACUCUUCUACGGGCAGGCCAGCAUCAGUUUGGGCGGUUGGAUAAAGGUCUCUGUCAUGUACCUCCUCUCGGGGAGAUCUUAUAGGGGAGACGACAUGCAACCAGCCUGGACUGAGGUCCGCGCAUCUGCUAGGAUGCUGGCGUAAUGGCUGUAAGCGGCCCGUCUUGAAACACGGACCAAGGAGUCUAACAUCUAUGCGAGUGUUUGGGUGUCAAGCCCGAACGCGUAAUGAAAGUGAACGGAGGUGGGAACCUUUCGGGGUGCACCAUCGACCGAUCCUGAUGUCUUCGGAUGGAUUUGAGUAAGAGCAUAGCUGUUGGGACCCGAAAGAUGGUGAACUAUGCUUGAAUAGGGUGAAGCCAGAGGAAACUCUGGUGGAGGCUCGCAGCGGUUCUGACGUGCAAAUCGAUCGUCAAAUUUGGGCAUAGGGGCGAAAGACUAAUCGAACUAUCUAGUAGCUGGUUCCUGCCGAAGUUUCCCCCCCCCAAAAAAAAAAAAAAUCC
rnacentral:rRNA from 1 species